AUAUUUCUUUUCUUCUUCUUCUCCUCCUCCUUCUUCUUCUUCGUCAUCUUCAUCCUUCUAGAAAGAGAGAGAGACCGACGACUUCCCCUUUCCUUUUUGAAAUCUCUUCCGCCGCCCCAUCCUUCAUUUGCUUCUCCACGCCGACACAACGCCACUAUCGUUGCGCAGCUCUAACCGCCGGAAGACGACCACCCACGCCACGCGCCUUGAACCACGGCGUUUUGAAGCGGCUAGUUCGAAUCGACACAAUCUAUUCGAGUGUCCUCGUUGUGUUUCUUUGUAAUUGAGCUGUGAAGUACCUAUCCAUCGUUCGUUGUCAUUCGGCUAAAUCGAAGUGGGGAAGGCAUAAAAUCCUGGGGGAUCGAGUAAUUGAUUGGCCACCUACGGUUGUCAGGGGAUUCCGUGGUUGAAAGAGGCCGUAACCGGAGAUCCGAGAACCUGAGCCUAGGUGAGGACGUGGAUGGAGGAUUGUGAUAUGGCUUCGGGCCUAGCUUAACCCAUGGUUGGGUGGCUCUAUGUGCAUAUAGGAGCGGUAUGUUGCUACCGUGGUAGGUGCUAAGUAUGCGUGAGCUUCGUUUGGCCGCGUGUUUCCUUGUGGAUUGGAUCACGUGUGAGCUAUCCUUGGGCCAUAUGCUUAGUAUGCUAUCAUGGUUGGAUUGGAUCGGAUUGGAUGGAGGUUGUUAUCGUGGCGGGCACUAAAUAUGCGUGAGCUAGUUUUGGCCGCAUGAUUUUUAGUCAUGUGCGAGCUAUCUUUAGCCGUAUAUUUAGAUGCUUUGCCAUGGUUUAUUGGGUACAGGUUUGUUGGCCUUACUUGUGGUUUAUGGUAACGGUUAAGGACUAAGCAUUGGUUGUGCUUUCCUGGCAGUGGUUAUAGUAUCUCAUUGUGUAGUAUAUACUUAUGCAUUCUAUUGUAUUAUUGGGUUAUUAGAAGAAACGAGAGUCAUGAUGAGAAUUUGAGUCUGAGAGGUCUUUUAUUAAAUUGUAAUUCUUUUGUAACUAGUUCGAAGUUGAAUAUAAACUUUGUUUGGUACUCUGGAUUAUGUUGGAUGAGUGUGUGGUGAGACACACUCGAGGAUAAUUGAGUUUUGAAAAGUAUAGAAGUGUGUCUUUCUUCUA